CAGGACUGCAUAGUGGAAAGGAUGGGAAGCGUUCAAAUAGCUUACUGCUGCUUUAGAGCAUGUUUGGUGAGGUCAUCAUGAGGAAAUGACUAAGAAAUUUAUGAAAUGCUGAUGUCAAAGAGUCAGAAUUCAACAAAGCAAGAAGAAACAGGCUGAAGAGCAACUACCUAAAUACAUGCAAUAACAUGGAGAGUGGGAAGCGGAACUGAGAGAACAAUAAAUGAAGAAACAAUGAAAAGGUCAAGCACUUAUUCAGAAUUCCUCAUGAAUACCACUGAAGGAAAUCUUGCUUAUAGUGGAAAAACCCAAACAUGAGAUGCAAGUACUACAUCAAAACAGAACAAAGCCCCAUUUUUGUGUCUGUCUUCAGGAGAAUGCACUGAAUUAAAAAAAAAAGGUACAUUUUGUGCAAAUGACGUU
rnacentral:lncRNA from 1 species